UACGUAGGGGGCGAGCGUUGUCCGGAUUUAUUGGGCGUAAAGAGCUCGUAGGCGGCUGUUCAAGUCGAACGUGAAAACUCGGAGCUCAACUCCGAGCCUGCGUUCGAUACUGGGCGGCUAGAGUCUGGUAGGGGGACCUGGAAUUCCUGGUGUAGCGGUGAAAUGCGCAGAUAUCAGGAAGAACACCCGUGGCGAAGGCGGCUCUCUGGGACGGUACUGACGCUGAGACGCGAAAGCGUGGGGAGCGAACAGG
rnacentral:rRNA from 1 species